rnacentral:rRNA from 1 species
AGGGCACCACCAGGAGUGGAGCCUGCGGCUUAAUUUGACUCAACACGGGAAAUCUCACCAGGCCCGGACACCGGAAGGAUUGACAGAUUGAGAGCUCUUUCUUGAUUCGGUGGGUGGUGGUGCAUGGCCGUUCUUAGUUGGUGGAGCGAUUUGUCUGGUUAAUUCCGAUAACGAACGAGACUCUGGCCUACUAACUAGACGUUGGAUCCCUUUGUGGGUCCAUCGCAGCUUCUUAGAGGGGCGGGCGGCGUUUAGCCGCACGAGAUUGAGCAAUAACAGGUCUGUGGUGCCCUUAGAUGUUCUGGGCUGCACGCGCGCUACACUGAAGGAAUCAGCGUGUGUUCCCUAUCCGAAAGGAUUGGGAAACCCGUUGAACCUCCUUCGUGAUGGGGAUUGGGGAUUGCAAUUAUUCCCCAUGAACGAGGAAUUCCCAGUAGGCGCGAGUCAUAAGCUUGCGUCGAUUACGUCCCUGCCCUUUGUACACACCGCCCGUCGCUACUACCGAUCGAGUGAUUUAGU